AAACUAACAAGGAUUCCCCUAGUAGCGGCGAGCGAAGCGGGAAAAGCUCAAAUUUGUAAUCUGGCGCCUUCGGCGUCCGAGUUGUAAUCUCGAGAAAUGUUUUCCGUGUUAGACCGCAUACAAGUCUCUUGGAACAGAGCGUCAUAGUGGUGAGAACCCAGUACACGAUGCGGAUGCCUAAUACUUUGUGAUACAUUUUCGAAGAGUCGAGUUGUUUGGGAAUGCAGCUCAAAUUGGGUGGUAAAUUCCAUCUAAAGCUAAAUAUUGGCGAGAGACCGAUAGCGAACAAGUACCGUGAGGGAAAGAUGAAAAGCACUUUGGAAAGAGAGUUAACAGUACGUGAAAUUGUUGGAAGGGAAACACAUGCAGUCAGACUUGCUAUUCGGGGCAACUCGAUUGGCAGGCCCGCAUCAGUUUUUCGGGGCGGAAAAGCAUAGAGAGAAGGUAGCAGUUUCGGCUGUGUUAUAGCUCUUUAUUGGAUUCGCCCUGGGGGACUGAGGAACGCAGCGUGC
rnacentral:rRNA from 1 species